GACGUAGGGCGCGAGCGUUGUCCGGAUUUACUGGGCGUAAAGGGCGCGUAGGCGGCCACCGCAAGUCGACUGUGAAAUCUCCGGGCUUAACCCGGAAAGGUCAGCCGAUACUGCGGGGCUAGAGUGCAGAAGGGGCAACUGGAAUUCUCGGUGUAGCGGUGAAAUGCGUAGAUAUCGAGAGGAACACCUGCGGCGAAGGCGGGUUGCUGGGCUGAUACCGACGCUGAGGCGCGAAAGCUAGGGGAGCGAACGGG
rnacentral:rRNA from 1 species